AGCAGUAGCCGCGGUAAUGCGUAUGUCACAAGCGUUAUCCGGAUUUAUCGGGCGUAAGGCGCGUCUAGGUGGUUAUGUAAGUCUGAUGUGAAAAUGCAGGGCUCAACUCUGUAUUGCGUUGGAAACUGUGUAACUAGAGUACUGGAGAGGUAAGCGGAACUACAAGUGUAGAGGUGAAAUUCGUAGAUAUUUGUAGGAAUGCCGAUGGGGAAGCCAGCUUACUGGACAGAUACUGACGCUGAAGCGCGAAAGCGUGGGUAGCAAACAGGAUUAGAUACCCCGGUAGUCCCUGUCUCUUAUACA
rnacentral:rRNA from 1 species